GUCCACGCCCUAAACGAUGUCAACUAGUUGUUCGGUGAGGAGACUCAUUGAGUAACGCAGCUAACGCGUGAAGUUGACCGCCUGGGGAGUACGGCCGCAAGGUUAAAACUCAAAGGAAUUGACGGGGACCCGCACAAGCGGUGGAUGAUGUGGAUUAAUUCGAUGCAACGCGAAAAACCUUACCUACCCUUGACAUGUCAGGAACCCUUGAGAGAUUGAGGAGUGCCCGAAAGGGAACCUGAACACAGGUGCUGCAUGGCUGUCGU
rnacentral:rRNA from 1 species